CUGAUUGCAUGAAAAAGCUCAGUUUAGGGUUUAAAACCCUAAUGAUGGCUAAAUGGAAAAAAGUUCAGUUUAGGGUUUAAAACCCUAAUGCUGACUGAAUGGAAAAAAGUUCAGUUUAGGGUUUAAAACCCUAAUGUUGACUGAAAGGAAAGAGUUUAGUUUAGGGUUUAAAACCCUAAUGCUGAUUGCAUGGAAAAGCUCAGUUUAGGGUUUAAAACCCUAAUGCUGAUUGCAUGGAAAAGCUCAGUUUAGGGUUUAAAACCCUAAUGCUGAUUGCAUGGAAAAGCUCAGUUUAGGGUUUAAAACCCUAAUGCUGGCUGAAUGGAAAAAAGUUCAGAUUAGGUUUUAAAACCCUAAUGCUAAUUGCAUGGAAAAGCUCAGUUGACGGGUUUAAAACCCUAAUGCUGGCUGAAUGGAAAAAAGUUCAGUUCAGGGUUUAAAACCCUAAUGCUGAUUGCAUGGAAAAGCUCAGUUUAGGGUUUAAAACCCUAAUGCUGGCUGAAUGGAAAAAAGUUUAGUUUAGGGUUUAAAACCCUAAUGCUGACUAAAGGAAGAAGUUCAGUUUAGGGUUUAAAACCCUAAUGCUGAUUGCAUGAAAAAGCUCAGUUUAGGGUUUAAAACCCUAAUGAUGGCUAAAUGGAAAAAGUUCAUUUUUAGCGUUUAAAACCCUAAUGCUGACUAAAGGAAGAAGUUCAGUUUAGGGUUUAAAACCCUAACGCUGAUUGCAUGGAAAAGCUCAGUUUAGGGUUUAAAACCCUAAUGCUGGCUAAAUGGAAAAAAGUUCAGUUUAGGGUUUAAAACCCUAAUGCUGAUUAAAGGAAAAAGUUCAGUUUAGGUUUUAAAACCCUAAUGCUGACUGAAUGGAAAAAAGUUCAGUUUAGGGUUUAAAACCCUAAUGCUGACUAUAGGAAAAAUUCAGUUUAGGGUUUAAAACCCUAAUGAUGAUGGCAUGGAAAAGCUUAGUUUAGGGUUUAAAACCCUAAUGCUGGCUGAAUGGAAAAAAGUUCAGUUUAGGGUUUAAAACCCUAAUGCUGAUUGCAGGAAAAAGCUCAGUUUAGGGUUUAAAACCCUAAUGCUGACUAAAGGAAAAGUUCAGUUUAGGGUUUAAAACCCUAAUGCUAACUGAAAGGAAAGAGUUCAGUUUAGGGUUUAAAACCCUAAUGCUGAUUGCAUGGAAAAGCUCAUAUUAGGGUUUAAAACCCUAAUGCUGGCUGAAUGGAAAAAAGUUCAGUUUAGGGGUUUAAAACCCUAAUGCUGAUUGCAUGGAAAAGCUCUGUUUAGGGUUUAAAACCCUAAUGCUGGCUGAAUGGAAAAUGUUCAGUUUAGGGUUUAAAACCCUAAUGCUGAUUGAAUGGAAAAGCUUAGUUUAGGGUUUAAAACCCUAAUGCUGGCUGAAUGGAAAAAAGUUCAGUUCAGGGUAUAAAACCCUAAUGCUGAUUGCAUGGAAAAGCUCAGUUUAGGGUUUAAAACCCUAAUGCUGGCUGAAUGGAAAAAAGUUCAGUUAGGGUUUAUAACCCUAAUGAUGAUUAAAGGAAAAAGUUCAGUUUAGGGUUUAAAACCCUAAUGUUGACUAAAGGAAAAGUUCAGCUUAGGGUUUAAAACCCUAAUGCUGACUGAAAGGAAAGAGUUCAGUUUAGGGUUUAAAACCCUAAUACUGAUUGCAUGGAAAAGCUCAGUUUAGGGUUUAAAACCCUAAUGCUGGAUGAAUGGAAAAAAGUUCAGUUUAGGGUUUAAAACCCUAAUGUUGAUUGCAUGGAAAAAGUUCAGUUUAGGGUUUAAACCCUAAUGCUGAUUAAAGGAAAAAGUUCAGUUUAGGGUUUAAAAACCUAAUGCUGACUGAAUGGAAAAAAGUUCAGUUUAGGGUUUAAAAACCC
rnacentral:lncRNA from 1 species